rnacentral:rRNA from 1 species
UACGGAGGAUCCAAGCGUUAUCCGGAAUCAUUGGGUUUAAAGGGUCCGUAGGCGGUUUAAUAAGUCAGUGGUGAAAGCCCAUCGCUCAACGGUGGAACGGCCAUUGAUACUGUUAGACUUGAAUUAUUAGGAAGUAACUAGAAUAUGUAGUGUAGCGGUGAAAUGCUUAGAGAUUACAUGGAAUACCAAUUGCGAAGGCAGGUUACUACUAAUUGAUUGACGCUGAUGGACGAAGGCGUGGGUAGCGAACAGG